AUGCCUACCGCUAGCACCUCCAUGGCCGCCGCCGCCUCCUGCCGGAGCCCGCUCGUCUGGUUCUUCUCCCUCGCCGCCGCGCUCUUCUUCGCCUCCUGGUACCUCCUCCUCGACUCCGCCGCCGCCCCGACCGCGCUCGAUGCCCGCCGCCAGGGCCUCCGCCCCGCCUCUCCAGGCAGAAAAUGCGAUCCGGACAAGGCGCUGCUGCGCGUCUACAUGUACGACCUGCCCCUCGAGUUCCACUUCGGCAUGCUCGACUGGGAGCCUGGGAGCGGCGGCGGCGGCCUUUGGCCGGACGUCAGGCACGGCGUGCCGGAGUACCCCGGAGGGCUCAACCUGCAGCACAGCAUCGAGUACUGGCUCACGCUGGACCUCCUCGCCUCCGAGCAGGGCGCGCCCACGCCGUGCAACGCCGUCCGGGUGCGCGACCCCGCCAGGGCCGACGUCGUCUUCGUGCCCUUCUUCGCCUCCCUCAGCUUCAACCGCCACUCCAAGGUCGUGCCGCCCGCGCGGACCAGCGAGGACCGGGCGCUGCAGCGGAGGCUGAUCGAGUUCCUCGCCGCGCGGCCGGAGUGGCGGAGGUCCGGCGGGAGGGACCACGUCGUCCUCGCGCACCACCCCAACGGGAUGCUCGACGCGCGCUACAAGCUCUGGCCCUGCGUCUUCGUGCUCUGCGACUUCGGGAGGUACCCACACAGGGUGGCCAACAUCGACAAGGACGUCAUCGCCCCGUACCGGCAUGUCGUCGACAACUUCUUCAAUGACUCCACCGGCUACCACGACCGGCCGACCUUGCUCUACUUCCAAGGCGCCAUUUACAGGAAAGAUGGUGGUUUCAUCCGACAGGAACUUUACUAUCUUCUCAAAGAUGAGAAAGAUGUGCACUUCUCAUUUGGAAGUGUGGCUGGUAAUGGGAUUGAGGAAUCGACACGGGGUAUGAGGGCAUCCAAAUUCUGCCUCAACAUUGCAGGGGAUACGCCAUCCUCCAACCGUCUAUUCGAUUCCAUAGUCAGUCACUGUGUGCCCGUCAUUAUCAGCGAUGAGAUUGAACUCCCAUUUGAAGAUAUCCUUGACUACUCCAAGUUCUGCAUCAUAGUGCGUGGUGCAGAUGCUGUUAAGAAGGGCUUUCUGAUAAAUCUGAUCAAAGGGAUAAGCCCAGAAGAGUGGACAAGCAUGUGGAACAAACUGAGGGAGGUAGAAGGGCACUUUGAAUACCAGUACCCAUCUCAGCCUGACGAUGCUGUCCAGAUGAUCUGGAAGACCAUAGCUCGAAAGGUGCCUUCAAUUCGGCUGAAGGUCAACAGAUUACAAAGAUUUUCCCGGUCUGAAGCUAACAAAACAAACGAUUCUCCGGCAAGAUCUUCCUGGCUAGAAAAUCAAGCUCGUUGA
rnacentral:rRNA from 1 species